AUGGACAUCUUCAACACAAAUGCACACUUGAAUUAUGUAAGGGACAGUGGGCUUACGUUGCAGAGAGCAAAACAACUGAGACCUUUCAAAAGGGAUGAGCUCGAGCCAUUUUUAAAGGAUUUUUAUUUCAUUGGAAGAGGUGGCUUUGGAGAAGUUUACAUGGGACUUGUUAAUGAUGUACGAGUCGUAGUAAGGAAGCUGAUUAGUGGUACUAUGUCGGAGAAUGGGGAGCCAUUUCCAAAAGAAGUCCGCAACCAAUGUGAACUUAUUCACAGAAACAUCAUUAGGCUCACAGGUUAUUGCUUUGAAGUUGACACGCCAGCGCUAGUCUAUGAGUAUCCCUCCAGAGGUAGCAUCCAUGACAUUCUUCACAGCAACAGGGUGCCUCUCAACUUGGAUUUGCGUUUAAGUAUAGCUGCAGAAUCAUCAAGCGCUCUAGCUUACAUGCAUUCAUUUGGCAUGUGUAAAAUCUUAUUUGGUAGUUUUAAACCAUCUUAUAUACUCUUGGAUGACAACUUUAUGGCUAAGGUCUCAUACUUUGGCAUGUCAAGCAUGGCUGCGGGACACAACGGAACAAUCGAUGGUGAAAUGGUUUAUAUGGAUCCAGCAUAUGUACAAACAGGCCUGCUAAUCGGAAAAAGUGAUGUCUACAGCUUUGGAGUUACCACCUUGGAGCUUGUUACUAGGAGGAAGGCCACACAUUCUGACAAUAACAGCUUGGUGAGGAAUUUCCUUGAGAAUCACAAGAUGGGGAGGAAAUCAACUGAGUUGUUUGAUGAGGAAAUUGUAGUGUCAAAAAAUCCGGAGUUUAUUGAGAUUCUUGCAAAAAUUGCUGUGGAGUGUAUUAACCUCUAUCCGGAC
rnacentral:rRNA from 1 species